UAGCGGAACUCCUACGGGAGGCAGCAGUGGGGAAUUUUGGACAAUGGGGGCAACCCUGAUCCAGCAAUGCCGCGUGAGUGAAGAAGGCCUUCGGGUUGUAAAGCUCUUUUGUCAGGGAAGAAACGGUAGUAGCUAAUAUCUAUUACUAAUGGCGGUACCUGAAGAAUAAGCACCGGCUAACUACGUGCCAGCAGCCGCGGUAAUACGUAGAGUGCAAGCGUUAAUCGGGAUUACUGGGCGGAAAGCGCGCGCAGGCGGUUGUGUAAGUCAGAUGUGAAAUCACCGGGCUCAACCUGGGAAUUGCAUUUGAGACUGCACGGCUGGAGUGUGUCAGAGGGGGGUAGAAUUCCACGUGUAGCAGUGAAAUGCGUAGAUAUGUGGAGGAAUACCGAUGGCGAAGGCAGCCCCCUGGGAUAACACAGACGCUCAUGCACGAAAGCGUGGGGAGCAAACAGGAUUAGAAACCCUAGUAGUCCACUUAUG
rnacentral:rRNA from 1 species